CUUUCUUGCCAUCGUUCUCGUGCGGCUGCUCAAGAUUCUAGGCAAAAAAAGACUUGAGAAAUUGCAUGUAUAAUUCUCCUGCAGGAGAGCAAGCUCUGUUAAAAUGCCGUGCCAGUGAUUUCUCUUCUUACUGCUCACAAAAGAAGUAAAAGGAUCUCUCCAUUCUGCAUACGAUUGCUUUUCUCCCUUCAACUCCGAGCCAAAAAUAAAUCUACUGCUCGGAUCGGCUGAAUGACAGUGGUGUAAAUUAAAUUGAUUUUAUCAGUGACCAAGUUCUACAAUUGGAAAAAUUAAAUGCCACUUUGACAGACAAGGAUAAUAUGGAACAGAUCCAUAAAACAGCUCCUUCGAACAACAACACCACCAACCCAACAGGAGCCUAGAUACUGGCGAGCUCUUCUUCUUCAUCCUGCUCCACUAUGUCACAUCGUCUAGUUUGCCUUUCUGCAGUACCAAAAUGAUUGAAACCAUUGUUUAAUGCAAAGGGAGUAGUGAUGAUGAGUCAUGGACUUUAUGCCACAGCAAAAGCAACAGACGUGGUUCUCAGGCAAAUUUCUUUUUUUAUUUUGAUCGCGCUUCUAAUUGGAUUCCCCUCUCAGAUGUACUUUGCGGCACUUCCAACCCACCCUUCAGCUCCGGCAAACUCGGGGUUGAGCUACAGGAGCGACGAGCCGCUCUGCCUCCACCUAAGAAUUGCAGAAACGCACCCUCCAAGUCCUUUAGCCAGGAAAACCCUACCUCAGCGCCUGCCGCCGGCCUCGCAAGGCGAGAGGAGGCCUUGAGCCACCUCAGCGCUCCCUGCGUGCCCGACCCGGCUCGGCCGGGCUCUGCUGGGUUCGCUGCCCGCCCGCCGGGGCCUGCCUGCCGCAGAGACACCGCGCAGCUCCGGGACGGGGGACCCGGCCGGGCGGCGCGGGUCUGGGAUUGUGCCGGGUUUCAAGGACACGGGAGAUGAUCAGGACUUUGGGAGCCAACAUCUGCCUGGUUGGUGACGUCAGCAACCCCGUGUAAUCCUCUUGUACUGAAGGCAGAUGCCUUAUUUGUUUGGCUGGAGAGGCAUUAAUCCCUAAUUCUGGAGCAGCAAGCGAGGGGGAGAGACCGGACCGCUUCCUAUCCCCCGAAAGCAGCCAGAGGGGCUCUUCUCUCCGCACUCCGCGGCUCCCACUGGGUGGAGGAGCCGCCAGCCCUCGUCAGGCGGCCGCACGCAGGAGCUACGGUGCCGAGGGGGGCCGGAGCCGCCUUCCCAGUUUGCCCCUGGAUGCCCCGGCAAGCCACGGGAAAAGUCUCUGAGAAACCCAGCUCGCCGCAGGAUCCCGGCCGCCGCCUGCAGCCGCAGCACAUCCCGCUUCGCCUCCUCUCUCUCUCCCGGGCCCUGGCGCCGAGGAAGCAGUCGAGGUCAGCUGCCCGGUUCCUGGGGUCCGGCCGUGGCCGAGCCCGCAGGGUGAUACAAGGUGCCCGGCCGCUCAGCUCCUCCCCGGCGCGCCGUCGGCACCGAAAAGGAAUGGUCCCGAUCCUGAGCCGUGAAAGAUGGCAAAAAGCGUAACAAUAAUGAUAAUAAUAAUAAAAUCUUAGGCUAUUUUUUAAAAUUAUUGUAAUGACUUCACCCCUCAUUUCCUCACUCGCCAGUUCAGUGUAGGCAAGCCAGAUGGGCUGCCCAGACCCUCCCGGGAAAGGGGCAGGUGCGAGUGAGUUAAAUUUUUUUCUGCUUUACAAAGAAAGAUGACACGUCCUGCCCUUUCAUUUUUCAUCGCCGAAAGAUACCCUCUUCCCCCCCUCCGCCCUCCCCCUGGACGAGGAGAGCAGGGAUGCUCUGGGGGUGCGGGCCUCCCCCACCCGUGCUCCAGGGGAGCCGCAGAACCAGGCGGACCGAGACAGCCGGAAAGACACGGUCAUUCCUCUCAGCCAGGGAUGCCAAAUGACAGACGUCGAGCCGGGGAGAGUCAACUCCUAUGUUUAAAAUCACGAGAAGAAGCUGGUGAAAUGAAAGCAGACGUCUGGAAGUGUGCAAUAGGCACACGUUUAUUUUAUGACUUUUUUUUUUUUUAAUCGAUUAAUACAUAUUUAACAGCUUCCUGAGCAUUGCAGACAACAGACUGGCUAGUAAGAAAACUCGAGCCUGAGUUAUAUAUGCAGUCCGGGCCAGAAUGUGACUAGGGCGGAGGGAAAUUGUGGGUUAGUUUGUUGUUGUUUUUUUUUUUUUUCGGGGAUCAGUUGCUGUUCUGCUGAGAGAGAGAGAGGGAGAGAGAGAGAGCGCUCUAAGGCUCUGACUCUCCGUGUUCACAGCGGACCUUGAUUUAAUGUCAUACAAUUAAGGCACGCGGUGAAUGCCAAGAGCGGAUCCUCAAAGCAGCAUGAAAGAUCUCGCUAGAACAUACCAUCACAAUAAUGAUAAUAAUAAAAAAUAUUUGCAAUUAGCUAAUAUAUAUAUAAACAAAACAAAAAAGCAAACAAACAAACAAAAAAAAAAGGAAAAAAAAGAAAGAAAGAAAGAAAGAAAGAAAAGGAGAGACAAAGCAAUAAAGAGCUCGACAACCUGUACUCACCUACGGAAACCGAGACUAACUAGGACUGGUGGACUGAUUGGCUCAGCCCGGUGGAAAGGAGAUGCCGCUGCCACGGGACGGGCGCCCGCGGGGGCAGCUGUCAGCAGCAGGUAACGGGGCCGUGGGGGGCUACUGGAGCGGUGCGGUAGCCGUGGUGGUUUUUCAAGGUAGUCAUGACUCGACCUCUCCCUUUCUUGGGCUGAACCAUGUAAAGUCGAUUAAUGGGAAAUAAAUACGUUUUCUGAUAUUA